GAUGAAGAACGUAGUGAAAUGCGAUAAGUAAUGUGAAUUGCAGAAUUCAGUGAAUCAUCGAGUCUUUGAACGCACAUUGCGCCCCCUGGUAUUCCGGGGGGCAUGCCUGUUCGAGCGUCUCAGGGACGAACCCUCGCGCGGGUGUACGCGCGGUCGUGGCUGCGGUGGCGUGCCCGAGGCGGCGGCCACCGCGCUGGAAUCCAUGGGCGGACGCCUGCCGCGUGGCCGAGCGUGAUAUGACGCAUUGGCGCUCGCACGCGGCGAGGCUGCCAGCCCUGGCCCGUCUGUCGGGCGGGGGAGAGCAAGACACGUGAACUCCUCGAAUCAGGUAGGGAUACCCGCUGAACUUAAGCAUAUCAAUAAGCGGAGGA
rnacentral:misc_RNA from 1 species